rnacentral:sRNA from 1 species
UUCCUUAUACACACACUUCUGGGGUUUAUCAACCGUACUUAUUUAUGAUAUAUACUCAAUAUUCUAUCUUAAUAAACAUUCAUAAUGAACCUCAUGUAUUCUUAUUUAAUCGAUUGCUCUGACAUUGAUCAACGCUUGUUGAACAUCUGCAUUAUUUAGAUUAGUGCAAUACUGCGACACAUACAAUCCUAUCAACAUUUACAAAGUCAUUUUAAUGGUCAGCGUAUUGGAAUCGUCUGAAAGUCAAAACGUUUAAACAAGCUUAUAGUACCGAAAGAAACGUCCACUCAAGACUUUUCAUGAUGAAAAAGGAUCAAAAUUAGUCGUAGAAAUGGGUUGUUUGGUCAUGGUUGGACACGGGGCCCAGAUUGGAAUAGCGUGAUGAGUCGAUGGCAUUCUCGGUUAAAUGGGUUCAUUUUAAUUAUCGCAGAGGAAGAGUCCCAAGUAGGAGUUGCAAACUUGCACGGGGUAAUGAUCAAAUAGCAGAGAACUUCUCUCUUAAUUCAGGAAGCGGACUUAACAGCUUGCAACACUAGACCGAAAAGUUUUCAAACGUGUCAAUAAAUGCACGUAAGCACAAGAACUCUUAAAAGACGUUUGAUGCACUUUAUAAUUGGGUUAAAUGUUUUAAACUGGCCAUUUGCCUUCGACAAGAGUUCUUGGAAUAUUAAAUGUAAAUAUUACUCGAAAUGUAUGGAAACAAAUAUGAAUAUCCAUACGGUAGUCUCAUGUUUGUACAUAAUGUAUGGAUGAUUAGAUGUAUCUUGUAGGCGCUAAAGAGAGUUGAAUCAGAUGCGUUUUUUGGAGCUUACUCAUUAAAUCUUGUUUAAUGUAAACAAUUUUUGAUAAAAUAUAAAAAAGAAAUGAGUUGGGAAUUAUUCAUUUCAAAGUCGUCUUAGUCAUUCAAAAACGGCGGGGCACUAGCGAGCGGUGCCCGUAAUUGGGUGAGUAAAGCCUCGGCUCCGAGAUCAGAGGACGCAGCGAUCGACAACAGAUGAGAUCGUACCGCUGUUCAAAACUAAAAGCCUCCCAGAAAUUUGCUAAGUUUCCAAAUAUAACAUCGUUAACAACAGCAAGCUUUUCAUCCAUAUUUUUGUUUUGAUUACAGCUUUUGUGCCGCAUCUUUUUUGUUACCCCAGCUUGAUUAAAUUAGUUGAAAAUAGGCAAAUAAAUCACAUACUGUUAGUAUUUUUGUGCUGUAGAUUUCUAGUUUUCACCUUACAAGAAAUCUUUUACUUUCUAAACAUCAGAUAGUCUAGCAUAGAUUUGUUUAAAAAUGUUUGAUCUAUUUGCAGGUGCCCGAUGAAAUACACAGGUCCUCGCUGUGGGAUAUGGGAUAUACAGUAUCUAAUAAGUGAAAUGACGCCUUAUAACUUUUUUAUGUAUGGUAAAUAAAGAACGGAUGAGGGAGUCAUGAAGGUGUCUUGAAGAUAAACGCCGGAGUGUCCCUCCCAACGAAAUUCGGUCACUCCAUAUCGAACGCAACAGACGAAUAAACUAUCACACCCGAACAGGACGGUGACCAAACUUCCAUUUUUCCUUGCAAUAAACUCAGUGUAUUUUUUCCAUAUGUGCGCCAUUGUGGAAUAAAACCACGUGCAAAACAUUAACAUCAAACGUGUUUUACAAGGAGAAAUACAGACAAAGCAGACCUUAGCUCUUGCAAGUUGAACGAAGAUCAGCGUGUGCGCUUCGGUGGUUUAGUGGUUGCAAGUCAUUAACCCUGCCUGUGGCAAAACAGGAGUAUUCUAAUUAGCUAAAACAAAACAGACACUUCAACAAUCGCGAACAAUAAACUCCUUGAAAUCUAAAGACCGACAAUGAUGCUAUCUCAGUUCCUAUAUUUCUUCACCUGUUAAUCCGAAUGUACUAGCGCAUAUGUCAUUUCGUCAAAGAGAUUCCCAGAAAACCAAAUGGCCGAGUCGACGCUUCGAUGAUGAUUAUGAUGUAUUGAAAUAGAAGAAAUUAGUUAUUAGUUGUUUGGCAAAGAAUACAAAGAGGAGGGUUUUCUUGCAAGGAUUGGUUUCAACCCAAUACAAGGCGUCAAUUGACUUUUGCAUUUUUCCCUGUUCACGUGACAAAGAUAAGCACAAAUUGCAAAGGGUUCAGGGGAACGAUGAGGUACCAUUUCAUUUCAAUGUAAGAGAGCUUACAGCAUUUCCAUAAAAAGACGUACUUUUUGUUUUGAAAAAAGUAGAUUUUACCCCUAUGUUUUCGAACCCCUUUGACUAUGGGUGUUCGAAAUGUCAUUUCUAUGUCUGUGAUAUUUCCUCAGUCUACAAGAUGAAUGUAUUGCUGUGACGUAGCAUUUUUGUUUGUAAGAUAUUUACAUGUAUGUAUGAUUUAUCAAAUGGAUACUGUAUUAUUUGAAUCUGCCCGACCUAACGGAACAUAAUAAGUGGCGAGCGAGAUUGAUGGGUAUUGGUAUUCCCGGUGUGUGGUAACAGAGAAACAUAUAGGGCAGAGCUUUGUAACACUCGACAUUGUCCACACGGGCAUUCACUCAACUACUGACAUUUCAUAGACAAUUUCAUUUCACAUUCAAUAUACCCUUGUUCAUUUUAAACUUUCAAUUCCAAAAAUAUCGUUUUUUAUCAAUUGUACUCACGACUUGAGCAUGUAGGUAAAUUAAAUAUUCGUUUCAGUUCAAGAAACUCUGUUUUUAUGAAAAUUCGACUCGUCUCUUGAUUAAUUUAUCUUUGAUUUUAAUAAUUUAUAGUUUUAAAAAAGCUCAGUCAAACUGAUAUGGUGUUGUUUUCAUAAUUAUAAAAUUGCUAGAUGCAGUAAAUGCAUGACUAUGUCCACAUUGUGUGUAUGUCCAAUUGUUUAAUUUGAAUGUUUUGUGUACUGCAAGGUUGUCCGAUUAUUUAUUAUUGUAUAUAAUUUAUUAGGAGAGAGUGAGAGACCGUGAGUGUUUAUUGGAGAGCACCAGUUUGUUAUUGUUCCUGGUUUAUAUUUAUGAAUAUUAUUCUGUUAAAGAUCUGGUUGAAUAUUUCAGCCUAGCUGGAAUUUUAUGGCAAAAUCUACUUUAAGGAUUAAAAUAAAGGAUAGUUAAUACU